AGGGUUUCCCUGCUGGCUGCCCUUCCCCUGGUGCUGAUCAGUGAGGCAGGCUGCGAUCUGGUCCUCUCACUCCAAUGGCACAGAGCUAUUUCAGAGCAGCCAGGACCUGCCCAUGCUGCACCCUGUGGGAGUGAGGGUGUUUUAUAAAGUGCAGGAAGCCAUGUGAAAACCAACACCAAGCAGGGCUGCCAUGGAAGAGGAGCAAGCAGAGCAGAGUGUUACAAGGCUCCUACACGCUUUCCCAGGCGAAGACCUCUCUGCUCCUUCUGCAUUUUCAUUCUCGUGUUGGCCUCUGCCCACUGAAUAACAACAGUAAUUGGAUGUGUUUGAAUAGUGCUGCUCAUUGUUUGGCUGUUUCUGGAAUCUCCUGCUGGCGAAAUUAUUCCCCACAAAAUCCCUAUCUGGAGGGUUAGGAAAGGGUUAGCAACAUGCCUUCCCAUUUGGGAACACAGCAGCUGGAUGUGACAGAGCAUCUCGUGUAGCUUUGGACUGAUGUCAGUAACCCAGAAGUUCUACUGCUCAGCUCAUCUCACAAGCUGAACCCUGGUGGUCAGUUCCCCCCCCACCUCAAGCCCUCAUCCAGCCCCCUGGGUUUCUCCAUGCCUAGAAUGUCACUAAGGACAAUCCUGCUUCCUGCAGCAGGGAGGAGGGCUGUGUUACCACCAAUGGGGUGUCAGACUCCCAGCAAGGACUCAAGGUAAACAGUUCAGCUUUGGUGCUUUAUUUGAAAGUUGCUGCUUGUGUUCCAGAGCUCGUGUGCCUGAGAGAUUGUCUGUGAUUUUAUGUAUCUUUCCUGGCUGUAUCAGUUGCUCCAAUAAAAGAUACCCCUUUCCUUACCA
rnacentral:lncRNA from 1 species